GCGCGUCCCAUGGCAACCAAGGCGCGUCACGGGGUUGGCUGCUUGGCAUGCUGCUUUGCUCCCCUCCUUCCCCUCCCGCCCUCCUUGCUUGCUGGGCCUGUCAAUCAUAGGGCUCGCGCGCCCAGAGGCUGCAAAGGAAAGGAGGCACACACAGAGAGGGCCUGGUGCGCGUGCUGGGGCUGCAAGGGCUCGGGGACGAGCUCCCUCUCCAGCCAAUCACAAGGAAGGCUGGGCGGGGAUGUUUGGGGGGAAGGAAGCAGGCAGGCAGGAGCGCGCGCCACCCCCGGGACUCACUCACUCACUCACUCGCUCGCGGGGCGGGAAGGGAAGUUGAAGUGUGUGCUUCCCUCAGGCUCCAGUCCCACCAGAGCACAGAACCGCAGGAGAGGCCCCUCUCCACACACACACACACAGGCCCCCGGUUGCAUGGUGAGCCUGCAUUGACAAGAAUGAAAACAGAAAAAUCUAG